UACGAAGGGGGCUAGCGUUGCUCGGAAUCACUGGGCGUAAAGGGUGCGUAGGCGGGUCUUUAAGUCAGGGGUGAAAUCCUGGAGCUCAACUCCAGAACUGCCUUUGAUACUGAGGAUCUUGAGUUCGGGAGAGGUGAGUGGAACUGCGAGUGUAGAGGUGAAAAUUCGUAGAUAUUCGCAAGAACACCAGUGGCGAAGGCGGCUCACUGGCCCGAUACUGACGCUGAGGCACGAAAGCGUGGGGAGC
rnacentral:rRNA from 1 species